GGGCGGUUGGCGCAGUGGUAGCGCACUUCGUUGACAUCGAAGGGGUCACAAGUUCGAAUCUUGUACCGCCCACCA
rnacentral:tRNA from 1 species